UACCCUGAUUGUACAAAGGUAGCAUAAUAAUUAGUUUUUUAAUUGGGAACUGGAAUGAAAGGUUGGACGAGAAAAUAUCUGUCUCAAUUUAAUUUUUUAUAGAAUUUUAUUUUUAAGUAAAAAAGCUUAAAUAAUUUUAAAAGACGAGAAGACCCUAUAGAGUUUUAUAUAAUUUUUAUAAUUUAUAAUUUUAAGAAUUUUUAUUAUGAAUUAUUAAACAUUAUAUUUGGUUGGGGUGAUUAAAAAAUUUGAUAAACUUUUUUUUAUUAUAUAUAACAUUUAUUUAUGAAUAAUUGAUCC
rnacentral:rRNA from 1 species